GACGAACGCUGGCGGCGUGCUUAACACAUGCAAGUCGAACGGAAAGGCCCUGCUUUUGUGGGGUGCUCGAGUGGCGAACGGGUGAGUAACACGUGAGUAACCUGCCCUUGACUUUGGGAUAACUUCAGGAAACUGGGGCUAAUACCGGAUAGGAGCUCCUGCUGCAUGGUGGGGGUUGGAAAGUUUCGGCGGUUGGGGAUGGACUCGCGGCUUAUCAGCUUGUUGGUGGGGUAGUGGCUUACCAAGGCUUUGACGGGUAGCCGGCCUGAGAGGGUGACCGGCCACAUUGGGACUGAGAUACGGCCCAGACUCCUACGGGAGGCAGCAGUGGGGAAUAUUGCACAAUGGGCGGAAGCCUGAUGCAGCAACGCCGCGUGCGGGAUGACGGCCUUCGGGUUGUAAACCGCUUUCGCCUGUGACGAAGCGUGAGUGACGGUAAUGGGUAAAGAAGCACCGGCUAACUACGUGCCAGCAGCCGCGGUGAUACGUAGGGUGCGAGCGUUGUCCGGAUUUAUUGGGCGUAAGGGCUCGUAGGUGGUUGAUCGCGUCGGAAGUGUAAUCUUGGGGCUUAACCCUGAGCGUGCUUUCGAUACGGGUUGACUUGAGGAAGGUAGGGGAGAAUGGAAUUCCUGGUGGAGCGGUGGAAUGCGCAGAUAUCAGGAGGAACACCAGUGGCGAAGGCGGUUCUCUGGGCCUUUCCUGACGCUGAGGAGCGAAAGCGUGGGGAGCGAACAGGCUUAGAUACCCUGGUAGUCCACGCUGUAAACGGUGGGUACUAGGUGUGGGGUCCAUUCCACGGGUUCCGUGCCGUAGCUAACGCUUUAAGUACCCCGCCUGGGGAGUACGGCCGCAAGGCUAAAACCCAAAGGAAUUGACGGGGCCCCGCACAAGCGGCGGAGCAUGCGGAUUAAUUCGAUGCAACGCGUAGAACCUUACCUGGGUUUGACAUGGAUCGGGAGCGCUCAGAGAUGGGUGUGCCUCUUUUGGGGUCGGUUCACAGGUGGUGCAUGGCUGUCGUCAGCUCGUGUCGUGAGAUGUUGGGUUAAGUCCCGCAACGAGCGCAACCCUUGUUCACUGUUGCCAGCACGUUAUGGUGGGGACUCAGUGGAGACCGCCGGGGUCAACUCGGAGGAAGGUGGGGAUGACGUCAAGUCAUCAUGCCCCUUAUGUCCAGGGCUUCACGCAUGCUACAAUGGCUGGUACAGAGAGUGGCGAGCCUGUGAGGGUGAGCGAAUCUCGGAAAGCCGGUCUCAGUUCGGAUUGGGGUCUGCAACUCGACCUCAUGAAGUCGGAGUCGCUAGUAAUCGCAGAUCAGCAACGCUGCGGUGAAUACGUUCCCGGG
rnacentral:rRNA from 1 species